UACGGAGGGAGCUAGCGUUGUUCGGAAUUACUGGGCGUAAAGCGCGCGUAGGCGGCUUUGUAAGUUAGAGGUGAAAGCCCGGGGCUCAACCCCGGAAUUGCCUUUAAGACUGCAUCGCUUGAAUCCGGGAGAGGUGAGUGGAAUUCCGAGUGUAGAGGUGAAAUUCGUAGAUAUUCGGAAGAACACCAGUGGCGAAGGCGGCUCACUGGACCGGCAUUGACGCUGAGGCGCGAAAGCGUGGGGAGCGAACAGG
rnacentral:rRNA from 1 species